rnacentral:ncRNA from 2 species
CUUUCAACAACGGAUCUCUUGGCUCU